CCCAUCCCGAACACAGAAGUUAAGCCCAUAUACGUCGAAAGUACUUGGCUGGCGACGGCCUGGGAGGAUAGAUAGUUGCUGAUU
rnacentral:rRNA from 1 species